AUGGCCACCUGGACCCCUCUUCUCCUCACCCUCCUCACUCUCAUCACAGGGUCCCUGUCCCAGCCUGUGCUCACACAGCCACCCUCUGCAUCGGCCUCCCUGGGACAAACAGCCAAGCUCACCUGCACCCUGAGCAGCGGCUAUAGUAACUAUGCUGUUGACUGGUACCAGCAGGGCCCAGGGAAGGGACCCCGGUUUGUGAUGCGAGUGGGCAGUAGUGGUAUGGUUGGAUCCAAGGGGGAUGGCAUCCCCGAUCGCUUCUCAGGCUCUGGCUCUGGCCUGGACCGGUACCUGACCAUCCAGAACAUCCAGGCAGUGGACGAGGCUGACUACAUCUGUGGAGCAAACCAUGGUAGUGGGAGCAACUUCGUGUAA